UUUGCAUAAACAGAUCUCUCUAUCCAAGAAGAAAUAAGCCAAAGGGGUAUUUUCCAGAAAGGACGGGGAAAAAAAUGGGGCUCAUGGACUCAUUCAUACAUGAAUAAGCACAAAUGUCCAUGGAACAAUACACCACAAAAAUAAAAUUCCAACUGGACAACAAAAAGAGAGGUUCUAGAGCCAUAAUCAAAGCUAGCUAGACUCAGUGGAUUUCCCUUUGAGGAGUGACUGGUAGAUAUUUCAGGAUUUCAUUAACUGUAUUAAACACCUAGCAGAGAUGAUAGUCUAUCUCUUGUUUGUGGUAAAUGGUUUCAUGGGAACCAAAAGCAAUAUACAGUCAUCAAAAUGCGUUGGAUUGCUUCGUAUUCCAAGCCUUCUUUAAAAAAAAAGAAAAGAACAACAUUAUUAACCAAGGUUGACUUAACCACAACUCCCGUUGGCUUCUGUGGGAGUUUUGCCAUGGCUGAAGACCACAAAUAAGACCCAUGCUCCUGGUAAUAAAAAGGCUGCCCAGAUACUGUGGAAAAGUUGCUGAACCUCAGAGUGAAAGAAAACACUUUCCUGUCACUGGAUACGGCUCCAUGUUGACUUCCAUUAAAACGUAACCUGAGCCCAGGAUGCAGAUGAUUAGAAUGUUCUUGGAAUAAUGGACAAAGGUUAUUUUACCCAAAGAGCAAUCAUGCUCUCCAGACAGGGGUGUGUGUAGAGGGAACAGGAGUGCUGGCUCC
rnacentral:lncRNA from 1 species